AAUACAACAAGAGUUCAAUGUUAUCCCAGUGUGGUGGGUAUGCCAAUUCAUUGCUUUUGUAUUUUCUUUUGUUCUAAUUUCUCAAAGAAAAAUAAAGCAGCUAUUCUGAGGCGCUGCUCUCUGGGCAUCCCCCCCUCCAAGCCUACGUGACUGACCAAAUACACAUUUCUCGGGUUUCAAUAAUUCAUCACCCAAGCAGGGGCGUAAGGGCAGGAAAGGCUCUGUCCUUAAGGGAGUACGGAGGAGGAGGAACGCAUCCGUCCAGGCUAACCUCUCCCCACCUCCAUCGUGACUAGAGAUGACCUUGGGUCUGAAUAAAAGGGGAGAGGGUUUUAAUGCACUGAACACUUUUGCCAUUCUACUUUAGAGAGAUGGAAAGGAACGCUCAUCUGGCUCAAUAAUUUAUCAGAACCUUAGCAUGACGAGAGAAAGAACCUUCCACAGGCAUGCGCUGCGAGUUCUGCAGCAGCUCUCCAUGACCACUGGCUGGUCUGGGAGGUGAUGAGCCCAUCCAGGAUGCUAAGGGGAACGUGAUCCCCAUCGGUGGGAGAGGGGAGAGCCUAAUGUGCACACAGAGCAUGUGAGGAUCCUGUUACAAUGCAGAUCCUGAUUCCUGGAUCAGGCUGUGGAUGAUCAGGAUGCAGCUGGUCCACAGACCACACUUUGAGGACCAAGUCUCUACCUUCUUCACCAUCAACUGCCACCUUCAACUUCUGCUUCAGCAUCCGCCGCCUUAUAACUAAAAGCAUGAGCAUCGAUGGUGUCUGACGAUACCAGGAGAACCAAGAACACCUAGCUCCUACCUGCCAAUCCCAAGAGAGAUGGUCGCUAGAGGACCAGAGCAUCCUUUGUUAGAGGCCUUGAGUUGUGAGAAGCAGAAGGAGGGGCUGGUGGAGCACAAGCUUGGCAGUGUGACCAACUGUCCCAAUUUACCUGGGACAGAGGGCUUCCCAGGACACAGGAUUUUCAGUGCCAAGCCCAGAAAAGUCCCAGGCAAACCAAAACAUGUUGGUCAUCCUAACAAAACCCAGCACGGAAGAUUCAUUGGUGGUGAUAGAAAUGAGAACGUCAUUUUCUCUGGGAUGGGGAGCAGUUGGGGGAAUUGACUGGAAAGGAAAUUGGGUGACUGUCUGGUCUGGUAGAACCAUUUUCUAUCUUGGUCACAGAGGUGUGCACAAUUGUUGAAACUCAACCAACUUGAGAUCUGUGUAUUUUAUUCUAUGUCAACUAUACUGCAAUAAAAAUAUCAAAAAUAAAGCAAAAGCAGUCAGAUCCAUCAACUCCCCCUAAGCCCUCAUCUAAACCUUGGCAUCUUGUCAUCCACUGGCCUGAAGGAGACAGUCCCCAGUCACCUACCCAAACGUAGGAAGGAAGAAACUGAACCUGAAUAGCUGAUGCUAUGGNCACAUACCCUUUUCACACACAGAAUCCCCCCACCCCCCGCCACCCACGAGUGAACAUGGCCCUUCGCUGUCCUUGGAUUUGCCCUGCUUGUAACUCUUCCCUCUUUGCAGGAGAAACAUAGAAAUGAGGUGGACAGAAGGGUGAAAUUUUUCUUCUCCCUACCCAAAAGUCAUCCUAGAAGGUCAGUGUAGCCACUGAGAGGCUCUGUGGCCAAGGAAAGCAUCACCAAAGUUCUUCCUUGUUUCUGUCCCUUUCCUGCUUUUCCAGAGCCCCCGCCUGAGCUCAGCACCAGCCUCUCACUCCUCUGGGCCUCAGCCACAUAGAGUCCAAGCUCACUGAGCACAAGGCUCUCACCUCCUAGCUCUCCUUCCCCUGUGGCCCCCCUUCUUCACCUUCUCUAAGCACAAUAGACCAGUGGUCUUCAAACCUUAGCAUGCAACACAAUCACCUGGAGAACCUGUCACCCCAGGGCUACUGAUUCUAGGGCUGGAGCGGAGCCUGAGAAUCUGCAUUUCUAACAAGUUCUGGGCGAUGCUGAUACUACUGGUCCAGGGCCAGUACUUUGAUAGCCAUCACAUCAGGAUUUUAAAAAAUAGCUGCUGAAUGGCUACAUGACCAGCACUAGAAGGAGCUCUAGAACAAAGUCUCCCACCCCCGGUUCUGCAGCUCUCCCAGUGGCAGAAACUUUUUAGGCAAAUCUUUCUUUUUGAGACUCAGCUUACCCAUUCGUAAAAUGGGUAUAAAAGCACCAACCUCACAGAUUUGUGGUGCGUAUCCAAUGAGAUAAUGCAAGUUUUCCUGAGAACCUGUUGGAACCUUACUUCUGCCUGGAAGUCUUCCUUGACCCCCCCCCCCAAAUCCAAGAGGCUUUCAUUUGCUCUGGACUCUUCUGCCAUAACAGUUCAUGGGACACUUAGAGCAAAUUGCCUUAUGUGGGAGGGUACCUGCCUUCCCUUGAACAUUUCUGGGUUCAGACCUUGUGCAACCUUUCUGCAUUCAGACCUAGGGCUACAGAAAUGAGGAGACAGUUGUUUCCAGGCUGGUGGGAGAUACGGAAAGAGGCACUGUACAUGCCCAGGGUCAAUGCUAGGACAGGGCGCAGUGCAAAGCCUGCAAAAGCCUGGAGGGCAGUCACCUACCCUGCUGUCCAUCCCCCACUUCCUUGAGUGGCCUGUAAGUGGCUCAACUUUGUGGGCCUGUCCUGACUGUCAGAGCACAGAUCUGUGCACACAGCAAGUGCUCAAAAACGGGCCGCCAUUGGAUUAAGAGGCCUGGCUCCUGCAAUGCCUCCUGGAAACGAUACCUUGUCUGACUGGGGUGGCCUGAGGAACCAAAAGAAACCGUUCAACAGACUGCCCUGCUCUGAUGAAACUAUUAACAUCCAAACAAACCGAUGCUUGUUUAGACAGAAAAGCAGGCAAUCCUUUCCUAUGUGCAAACUGCAAAUUCUCCGGUUAAAACAAAAUGAAAGGGAAGAGGCUCCCCUAUUCACAUCAGCAUUUCACUUCUAGGUCAGCUACUGUCUGGCUAACACCUGCCCCAUUCAGGCCACCCCUGUGCCAUCAUCACUGGCUCUUGAGGCCUGGGUCCUAAACAGAUCUUAUGUUAUUCCUAUCUAGAAAAAAACCCCAACUCUAUCUCCAGCAUCCAGUUCCUGAGGAAGCCAGGGAGAUGCGAGGGAAAGAGAAUCGUUCCUCGAAUAGGGUAAACUGGCCUGAGUUCAAAUCCUAGCAGCACCAUUUAUGAGCCAUGUGAUCUGCAGCCAGUAAUUCAUCCACUAAGUCUCAAUAUCCUCAUCUGUGAAAUGGGAAUAAACAUGCCCACUCUCAAGAGUGUGGUGAAAAUGAAAGGAGAACACAGGAGUAAAAAGCCCUGCUCCCAGGUGGAGGAAACCAAGUGUAAGAGAUAACACUGUUCUGCAGGACUCUUCAAAUUCCUCCCCACCUUUCGCUGCCCUUCUGCGGAGCGCUGGGAGUAGAAGUGGGAAGGCCCUGAGUCCUCUCAGCUGUUCCCUUUGUGACUCAGCCUUGGGCAGUCAGCGUGGAAAUAUCACAGGCAGAGCCUGUUCUGGUGACAUUUCAAAUCCAGAGCAUCUCUCGCGUCUCCCUCCCAGGCUGAGUCUGGUCAGCGUCCAUUGCUGGAAAACUUCCUGGGGCAUUUCUGUCUCUUUUUCAAAAGCCCUUAUUUAUUCUACUUUGCAUGGGGAUGGUACUUUACAGCUUACAGAGCACUAUCACACACCUAAUCUUAGGCAAGCCUCCCAGCCACUCGGCCAAGGAGAAAACAAAUGCUCAAAAAGUCCAAUCAGGAGUUCCCGUCAUGGUGCAGUGGUUAACGAAUCCGACUAGGAAGCACAAGGUUUCGGGGUUCGAUCCCUGGCCUCGCUCAGUGGGUUAAGGAUCCAGCAUUGCCGUGAGCUGUGGUGUAGGUUGCCGACGCAGCUAGGAUCCAGCGUUGCUGGUGGCUACAGCUCUGAUUAGACCCCUAGCCUGGGAACAUCUAUAUGCUGCGGGUGCGGCCCUAGAGAAAAAAAGUCCAGGAGCUCACAAGACUUGCCUUUCAUACAAACUCAUUAAUGAUGCAAACAGACACAAGGUAAGGACACUGUUCCUCUUGGCCUUUGGACUGGUCCUCAGCACCAGAUAAUAGCUGGACCAGACACAAGGGCCGCGAAUCUCUGGUACUCACUCGCCUCCCAUAGACAUGCAGUCCAGCUGAUGGGGCUGGAAGCCCAGAGGGCCUUCAAGACAGCUGAAACCUCCCAGGACGGGCUUGCUGCAAAGCCUGACAUCAGCAUCAGGGCUUCCCACAGUGCAGGAUCUCUGACACCUGCAUCCCACCAGGCCCAGCCCCAGGGGCAAUGAACAGACAGACCUGGAUGUAUAUCUCAGCUCAACUUCCAGCAUAAAG
ensembl:lncRNA